rnacentral:rRNA from 1 species
AGGUAUUAAAGGGCCGCGGUAUUUUGACCGUGCAAAGGUAGCAUAAUCAUUAGUUCUUUAAUUAGGAGCUUGUAUGAAAGGUCUGACAAGGGAAUAACUGUCUUUGUUAUAGAAUUUGAAUUUAACUUUUAAGUGAAAAGGCUUAAAUAAUUCAGGGGGACGAUAAGACCCUAUAAAGCAUUUUAUUGGGGUGAUAUAAAUAUAAAUAUUAACUGUUUAAUGAAAAUACAAUAGAUAAGUGGAUAGAUCCUUUAUUUAAAGAUUAAAAGAUUAAGUUACUUUAGGGAUAACAGCGUAAUUUUUUUCAAGAGUUCAUAUCGAAAAAAAAGUUUGCGACCUCGAUGUUGAAUUAAAAUGUCUAUAUGGAGCAGUCAAUAUAUAAGAGGGUCUGUUCGACCUUUGAAUUUUU